UUAAAAACGAAUAAAUCCACUACAUUAGUUUCAGAGAAUGGACAUUGAAAAACUUUUUAGAAUUUUGAGGGAUUAUUUUUUUGUGUUGAUGUUCAGGCAGUGCUUUCCCCUCCCCCUUAGCAGAGGAGGGGCGGAAGGAGAUUCUAUGCUGCAGUUAGUGACUCUGUCACCAGUCUAUAAAAUAUCCUGCUGCCCAUUUACUGUUAGAGUUGCAGGCAGGAGAGCUAGGGAGAAAGGGCAGGUGGAGAGGGAAAUAAAACAGGGAAAGGGGAAACAGCCCUGGAAUAGCUUUAAAAAACAAAGUUAACUAGAUUAAUAAUCUAUUGGAAACUAUAGCUAAUAUUUUUUAAAGUAAAUCAGUAAAGAGGGUUUUACUCUUAAAAUAUUAAUUAUAGUUUGAUAAUUAAAAAGAUAUGGUUAACUAAUGUGCUACUGGUUUUUAAACCACUUAAUGCUCUUAAAAACAGGAAAUAUGAAGAUUUUUAAUAUGAAAGGCAAUUGGAAGAGGAGAGAAGAAUCAAAGAAUAAGAAGUAUUCAAUAAGUGCAGGAGGGUGAUCAGAGGUUUGGGUAAAUGGUUGAAAGAAAAUGGGCAUUUUAAAUGCUUCCAAAAUAAAAUUAUUAACCAAGAAAAUCUUGAAGAUAAAUUUAAGAAAAAACAAGAAAAAAUAUUGAAGAUUUAAAAAAGAAAAUGCUAAAUUUUGAAAUAUAGAUCUUGCAUUUUAAAAAAAGGCAAAAGAAGAAUUUAAAAUUUGAAGAUAAUUGGGAAAGAAAAAUUUAAAAUUUGAAGAUAAGAAAAAACAAGAUUUAAAAAAAUGAAGAUUAAUUUAGAAGCAAAACAAGACCAAAAUAAAAUUGAAGAUAAACUGAAACCCAAAACAUGCUUUAAGCCAGUUUGGGGUGGAAAGAAAAAUUAAGAAUGCUGGCUGUUUUAAAAACGCCAGAUUAAGUCUGCUUCAAGCAGAAGAAAAUAUGAAGAAACAACGAGUUUUAUUUAAAAAGACAAAAUGAUUUUUAGAAAAGAAAAUAUUAGAAACACAAGGUUUGGGAAGAUGUUCAAGACAGGAGACUGAGAAGAGAGACGGUUGUGGUUUGUUUGUUUUUUGGUAAUAUUAGAAGGCAGAAGGUACCUUAGAAGAGGACCCAGGAAAAGAGAAGAGAGAAGGGGAGUUGCAUUUUAAAGAUGAGCAAAAGAUCUAUCUAUAUAGUAGAUUAGUUUAAAAAUGUGAAGUCAGGAGGGUGAAAGACUUAAAUUGAUACUUGUAAAAUCUAAGGCGUAAUAUUUGCUGAAGAAUUUAAUCUUUUAAUGCAAACUAGCUCAGUUUUUGUCAAAAUCAAACUUACAAAUUCAUAGCAUACUAUAACUAUUAAUUCAAAGGACUUUGUGUAUGAAAAUUAUUUCAAGAUCAAGAAUAAUCUUUAAAAGGUCUAUUUUUGUGUGUGUUGGACUUAGUGGAAAAAAAUCUGUCUUGAGCUAAAACGUUUAAAAAAAUUAGCUGAUAAAGGACUAGAAUAAAACCAACCAUUUUACGUCUGAUGCAUUGACCAAGGCGGAAUGUUGCUUCAGUGAAGCUAGAAAGACAGGAUUUCAAGGAGCCAGUGCAAAUUGGUGAAGUUAGAGGGGAAAAAAGAGCCAGUCCAAAUUGGUGAAACUAGAGGAAAAAAGAAUCAUGGAAAACAAGAUCAAGCAAGAAAUUUUUGAAAGAAUAGAUACCUUUGCGAAAGGCCAGAAGGGGGAAAAAUGAGUGAAGACAGCAAUAAUUUAACCUGUAUAGUUGGUAACCUACUUUCUCCUUGAUUUCUUUAAAAUACUAUUUUCUUUGCUAUACUCUUCAUUAAUAGUAAUUUGUAAAGGUACUUAUUGUUAUGAGAGGGGUUUGUUGGAGUGGGUCAAGUCGUGGUGUGUCGUAGGUUUUUCUCUUUGCAGGCUUAUUUACUCAUUGCAUCUUGUCUGGAAACUAAUGGGCAAUCUGCCAAGCCCUGGAGAGUGUGGUCAUCUUCCUGAGUGUUUAGAAAACUGCUGGAAUUUUCCUUUCGGCUUUAGGAGUGGUAGCUAGCGUCUAUAUUGCUGUAACCCUACCCAAAUUGGGGAAGUCGUGAGCCUGGUGGAGCGACAAGCAUCUAUGGUGGCAGUGAAGUGUAAGCAAAUCACAUAAUAUUUUUUAAAAGAUUAUUGCCCAGCAGAACAACAAACUUGUUCAAAUCUUAAAAUAUUGUAGGUAAUGUAUAUUAUCUCCCAUGUGUCUUGCUGUUCCUAGCAAGAGAAAAUAAAUGUAUUUUUCUCAUCUAUUCUAGUGGGAAGGGAAAAGGCUUUUUUUUGUUAGUGUUGCUCAAAGUAUUUUUUUUUCCUUGAAGGGAGGGGAAGGGACGAGAAACUUCUUCAGUUUUUUCCCUCCAGGUGUGUCUAGAUCCUAGAGCCAGACGACUGGAGAGGUGACAAUGUAAAGGAUAAAAGAGAACCAGUAAUCAGGAUAAAACCUCUAUUGUAUUGAUGAUGGCAGUGGUUUAGAAAUGUGAUUCACCUGUAUUGCAGCUAUAGAUAUCAAUCGAAGUGUGUGGAGAAACUGGCCAGACAGAGGGAAAUGCAAGUUAAUUAUAUUCUAUUUUUAUAAGUUUGGAUUCUUCAUAAAGUAAUUUACAUUUUUUUAUUAUCAAAGUAUAAAGGUACCAUUUUUGGGGAGAGGGAAACAUUUUUGUGUAUGUUGAAAAGGGUGGUGGUGGGUAGGGAUAAAACAAGCUUGUUUCUAGACUCUUUGCAGAUACUGUAGUUCCUAUUGGCUUGGUUAGCAGUGUGGUUCUAUCCACUGUGCUGUUGCGAGAACAUUCCCCAGAGUUGGAGCAGCUUUUACCUUGGAAGAAAGGACAGUUUACCUAAAAUGGAGUUGGAAAGUUGGAUUGGAGCUUGUAUUCAGGAUUCAUGGUCGUUCAGUCAUCCUCUAAGGAGAAUUUAAGAAGAGCUUGGCUAGUCCAGAACUUGAAAGUUAAGUUUUCUCUAGUAAACAAACAAAACAGACAUACUUUGAUACAGUAUAUAUUGUACGUGUGUUGUGGGUGGAAUUUUAGGUGCUGUUUUAUAUGGCUUGACAUAUUCGUGGGGGUGGGGCAACAUAAUUGUCUGUAUGUUCUUCAGAUUCUCUUCCUAAACUACAGAGACAUCCAUAACUUUAGAACUGAAAAAAAGAAUGUUCAGCUUCAAUCCUGGCAAGUAAUUCUCAUAAUUUAGCUUUAAAUUGUUUUUGUGGCAGUGCCCCAUUGAGUAACUGGGAAUGUUCACACCCACGUGUGUGUGUGUGUGUAUAUACUUAAAGCACAGGCAGUGCUAGAAAGAGAAUAGACAAAGUUAAAAUUGUAAUACAGAGUAGCUUCUUUAAUUUUUUUCCUGUAGCAUAAAAUUUACCAAAAAUACUCUCUCAGAAGUGGAAAGCUUCCACUAGUCCAAAUUAACAUGGACUACAGAUAAAACAACACCCUCAUAUCCUCUUGUAACUAUUAGGGUUGUGGUGUCUAGACGCAUAUUCUGGUGCAUAUCUGUAAUUCUGGGAAUCCGUUUGAAACCUUGGACGUGGUGGUGUGUGGCUUUCUUUUUUUGGCAUUUUUUUCCAGGUGCUUAAUGUAACUUAAUGCUACUGUAGAGACUUCAGAGAGAAAGAAGUUGCUUAAUGACCCUGGUGUGUGAUUCCUUCUGAUGGUAGCUUGUGUAUUUAUCAAACAUUUUUCAGAUCCACCUUCAGAAUCAUAGCCCCAACGAGCCUGAGAAAAUAUGUCCUCAUAAAUGCAGAGGGAACAGCUUCUUGGCGAAUGAUAAGUAAAGGCAGAAAAGAUUCUAAUAUUCCUUCCUACUUGAUGGAGAAAGGAUCCCAGAUGUUAACAAGUGAAAAUCCAAUGUGUCUACCGGGAGGAAAAAAAAAGUAUAAGCAUUGACUAUCCAUAUCUUAUCAGAAUAUUUGCUCUAAGAAAUCUCAAUUAUAUGCAGUAAAGAGCAAAUGUCCUUGAAAUACAUAAUUUCAUUAAAGCAGUGAACAACUACUUCCACAGCAUUGCUAUUAAAUUGAAAGAAAAUACGACAGAAAAAAUGCAUAUGCAAAUGCAUAUGGCUUCUACCAAACUAUUUGGUAUGAAUAUUACUACCUAAAUCUUACGGAUUUGAAGAAAGAAUAUGAAUUUUAUUUUGAAACCACAAUCUAAUUUGGGAUCAACUUUCACUACUGUUGGAUUUGAGAGGAGGCUUGUGCUGUGCUCCACUGUUUACCUGACACAGGUUUUCUGCACUAUUAAUGAGGAGUUUUGCUUCAUUUCAUCUGGGAGCUGAAAAAACAAGCAGGCAUCUAUUACAGAUAAGUUUAUCAAUUAUAUCUGCAGAUAUUGCAUGUUAGGGAAAUGUACUUUUUAAAUGCUCUGAAGCAGUAGACGCCGUAAACAUCUGAACUGGCAUUUCCCAUUUCCAGCCUUUAGCAGUGUGCGGAAUGGGUAUGAGGGACUUAACCUACCCCUGUGCCUAUUUGGGGCUGCACUUCCACUUUCUAAAUUCCUUUCUCCUCUGUGCACAGACCACAGUUGGAUAGUGCCCAUCACCUAAAGGCAGACAAGCGUAGCAGCUAUGCUGUGGUGCUUAUGAACAAACAUGAUGAUGUAUAUCUUCCCUUGGAGGCUGAGCCUACUCAGGGCCUACCCUUUGAGAGCCUGAAAUGCUAUACCAAACAGCACAUUAUGCUGCUAAAAAACACACCUUAAUUUUUCUGCUAUUUUGUAGCAUUAAAAUAUUUGCAGAAAACAUGGGAUAUUUAAAAAAAAAAACUAUAAAGGCACCUUUUAAUAAAGUUACUGAUGUGCUCUAAGAAUAGACAGUUUGUCUUCAUUUUUAUUAAUAAAAAUGUGCUGUCAAUGUUCUUUGUGUGUGGUUAGCUCUGGGGCAGUGUGUGUGGGGGGGAUUCUUCUUUAAUCUUUCAGAAUCUUUCUCCAAGAACACCUGAUCUUAAUUGGACGGGAGCAGAAAUUGAACAGAAGACCGAAAUUCUUUUUUAUUCAGGCAGGAAAGUCUUUGCAGAAUCUUUUCCUUCCCUCCCUCUCCACCCCUCUCUUCAUCGAGACAAAUGUAGAUCAAGGUACUUGGCAAUAGAGGUCCUGUAAUUAAGGAAAGUAUCUGCCCAAGGAAUGAUUUCUAAAAUGCUUUAAACUAGACCAGUGGGGGCAAACUUACCAAUUCAUAACAAAGUAAAAUUUUGGCAAUAAGACUUGCUCUGUCUCCAGAGCUAAAGUCCUGUUAAAAUUAAAACCGACUGACUUAUUGAUAGUUGGGGAAAACUUUUAACUGCACAAUAAUUUUUUAAAUUUAACACUAGUCAGUUUGCAUAUUUAGAAAUUUGCAUGCUAACAAUGCUUGCAACCAUUUCCUUCAGUGCUAGUGACGUCUCAUUUUCUACUUCCAAUUAACGUUAGGGGGGGAAUGGGCAAUUUUUUUUUAAAGUAUCUUUCUUUGUAGAAGCUUCAUUUCAUAAUGUAUAGACCCUGAUGCAUCCCUUCACGAAGCUGUUCAGGAUGAUUUUGCUUGACAUGCCUUGGCGCUUUCUUCUGUUCCUCACACCUUGUGUGUGUAUGUGAAGGCCCCCUACAGUGAGUUAAACCUCCAUAUCUUCAAACAUUAACAGCAUUAUUUUUUUUUUUUUUUAAAUAUCUGGACUGUGCCUGGGGUAGGGUGGGAGGGGCUCACAACUUGUUCCAGCUUUUCUUUUUACAGACUUCACAGAGAAUGCAGUGUCUGAAGCAGGUCUGGUCUGUUGGCAAGUAAUGUGCAGUAUGCUUGAUCUGCUUGGGUAGAGCAUUUGAAUCGACUGAAAUAUGUCCUAAAGCUUUUGUCCAUGUGUGGAGUAGUGAUUGUUUGAAAGAAAAAAAUACAGCUGAAUGACAAAAGUGCCUGUUUAUUGAAAGGAGCUCUUUACCCUUCGAGUAAAAUCCCCACAGCUUUAAACAGUCGGUGUAUGAGAUCCAAGUUCCUUUGGCUGUGCUGCUUUAUUUAGGUAACUGCUUUUUGUUGUUCCGUUUCUGAAGUGGGUGGGGGAGGGUGUACUGAAGCCUUUAGUCUCUUCCAGAUACAUCUAAAACAUCUCAUUGACAAGAAAUAAAAGCUUCCAAACAAGCAGCAAUCCUCCAGGAAACUAACUGGCAAGUGACAUUUUAAAUUCCACCAGUUUAGUGACCAUUUUCAGUACCUUGCUUUUGUAUGGGUCUCUUCCUUUAUUGGUUUUUUUAACAGUUCUUUUCAAGAAAAUACCAAAACAGGCCAGUUCCUCUUGAUGGGCCACAGAAGCCAACCCAGUAAGAAUAGUUCUUAUUUACUUUAAAACAAAAAAAUUGAUUUUUCAUGGAGUUUACUGGGAAUUUGGGAGGGAGGGGAGGGCGCAAUCUAGUUUUAAGAUUACUUUUCACAGACCUGUAGAAGGAGCAGCCAGACACAAAGAAUUGAAAAUACCACAGUGGACAAAAAGCAAACAGGUGAAUAAACUUUUCUGUAUUUACCAUAAAGAUAAAAAGAUUAAAAAAAAUUGGAAUCCCCUCUGCUCCCCACCCCACCCACGAUAAAAAAUGGGGACAUUAACUUCUAUCCAGCUUCAUGCUGCAAUUUCACCAAUUUAAAAUGAGAGACUGUAUCUUUGAAUCUUUUUAGGGAUGUGGGUGGGGGAAAAUGGGUUGAGACCUCUUUUGCUUAAGACUUUUGCAGGUGUCCCCAUUUAAAGACAGAAAAGGCUUUAAAAAGUAGGAGAACCAUGGACCUUUACAGACAUCUUGUGACAAAACUGACAUGACGACAAAGCAGUUACUUAAAGGUCACUCUUAAAUUACAUGAAUUUAUUGAAGGCGGUGGGGUUGCACUUGUAAUAUAAUCUUGCAUAUACUGAGGAUAUGUGCUUCAAAGGAUGCUCUUUGCAUUAACUAUAUAUUGAGCAAGUUAAUACAUUACUUUAAAAGGAAUGUUGAGUACCUUCAGUGUACUUAUAGCCAUGUUAUCAGUUCAUGUAAACCCCUAUUUAAAAACACUAACUUUCAGAUCAUGGCUUAUACUUCUAAAAUAAAAUUAUGUAAAUACUUAAGGGAGGGGGAGGAGGGGAUAAACCACAACCAGUUUUCGCUAGACUUUUUUCCAGAAACCUGCUAUUCAGUACCUAGUUCAGACUACACACAGCGCUUUUCCUCUUGCUUCAGCUGGUAGCAUGGAUCCUUGUCACUGGUAUGCGGUUUUCUCUUAAGGUAAAAUUUUAAAAUGUAAGUCUACAAAACAUUGGGAUAACGUACUUUGCCUGGAACUCUCCUAACUUUGGAAGCUAACGUCACAUUUAAAAAAUGUAAUGAUGCUUAAUUAUAAACUAUUACUAAAAUAGUUUUACCUUCAAAUAACACUCAGAAUAAUAUUGACAGGCAAAACUGUCCCAAAACUAAAUAGUAAAUCUAGACGUAACAGAUGGCAAAAUACAAUAAAAACAAAACCAAUAACUUAUGGUGCUUUGGAGGAAUGUUAGGGGGUGGGUGCCUGCCAAUACUGGCUGUAAAUAAACAUUAGAAAGUAAAUUUCAACUGUCUUCAUUGUGAGGUGGCUUUUGGGAGGGCUCUUGCAACUCUCUGCUAAGACUUUUUCAGGUGUCCUAACAAAUUCGAAAUAAGUGAUUUGUCAGAAGUAGAAGCUUAGAUGAAGCAGAUUUCUUCAGUGCUCUUUCAAGGUUUUUCUUUUCCUGAGAGAACAAUCUGUUCUGUCAGGUUUUGCUUUUCACCUUUAUUAUAUUAACUAAAAAAAGCAAAAGAUGCUGGUGGUUGGCACUCCUGGUUUCCAGGAUGGGGUUCAAAUCCCUGCAGUGUCUUUGCUUUUCUUGUACCAUAGAGGUGUAAAUGCAGACCACUUCAGUGUGGGUUUUAUAGGUGAGAGUAACUUUUUCAUUGGGAAAUAGAGGUGUUUUGUCUGGACAGACUGUACUUGGGUAAUAUUUUGCACUUAACAUUUUAUCUGUAGGUCACAGAGCAGUUCACAAUGGUGGGUGUAACUCUUCACAUUUACAAAAAGGGAAACAACUGAUGCAGAGAGGGCAGUUAACAGCCAGUCAGUGACAGAGCUGUGACUUGAACUCAGGAAUCCUAACUAACAAUCCUCUGACUAGGGGAGUGUUUUUCAACCUCUUUCUAUUUGCUGACCCCUAAAAAAAAUUCCCCUUUUGGAAUCUUGGACCACAGGUUGAAAACCAAAGAUCUAAUGGACAUAGUAUCCUGCUGUGAAAACUAUAGUAGUCUUUUACUGUCCCUGGCCAGUCACCCUAAACAACAACUUGUUCAUGCAGAAACCAGUUUCUUGUUGACAGCAUUAAAUAAUUUGCCGUGCUUCUAAACCAGCUUCCUAUUGACAGGUGUUUGGCAACCCAGGCAUGGUAAUGAACAACUGCAGAAACUCACUGAACUUCUAGCAAGUGUAGCAAUAGAUGUCUGCCUAACUUCUAAAAAUUUUUAAUUUAACUACAUCUAUGGCUAACUAUUCUAACCAGAUUGCUUUCAACAGGUGUUACUUAACUUCAUUGCAAUGUGUUAGAAGUUAUGAGAGUUUUAGCUUGUGAUGGCGAUGUACAGGCAGCAGGAGAUUCCAACUUAUUUGUACUUCAACCAUUUCACUAUAUGGGGAUUUAAAAAAUAAAUCUGGAAUGCAAAAUUA